rnacentral:lncRNA from 1 species
UUCUCUACAAAAUAAGACCAAUAUUCAUAUAGUUUUAUAAGUAUAAAAUCUUAAUAUGAAAUAAGUUGAAUUAGAUUGCUAAUUGGAUAAAUAAUUAGAUUGGAUUGGAUUAUAUAGGUAGAAGAGAGAAAAGACCGGUUUGUUUAUGCUUUGUUUCAAAAUCAGAGUUACAUUUUAAAUGAAAGUGUUGCGGAAUUUGUCCCAAAACAAAAAUAUGAUAAAGAUUUAUCAAAAGCAUUUCCAUAGAAAUGUAUUUCAUUAAAAGACUCGGGAUGUCAUGUUCGUACAGAUCAAAAGCAUAAACAGUACAAUAUAAGCCUUACUACAUUAUUUCAUAUCUACAGGCCUAUAUCCGUAAUCCCUCGUUCAAAACAUCACACCUAUGCUCAUGCGCCACUACCUGUAAUACAUAAAACUGAGUGGGUCAGGCUUGGGAGCCUGGUGAGCACAUAGGGUUUUCAACCCACAAUAAAUUAAUUUCAUCAAUCAACAAUAACCCGAUUACCCGUUCCCGUUAUCCUCACUUUACGUCCCUAAACACCUAUCAUAAGGGACCUAGCCUAAGGAUCAUCAUCGGGACGGACACUACUGCUAAGGGGAUUCCUCAGCAAUAAAUGUCCUAAAGGCAACCAUGUGGGGGAUGGAGUACACCGGUGAACACAUCGUUCACAAACACCUACAGGUUGCGAGCCUGCUAGUGUUCCACUGGACUGUCUAGAAGAGUCCGUGGUCGUCAUCCAUACUCCGCUAGAUGACAGAAACAACAACAUCAUCAUCGAGGCCUCUCAUCAUUUUAUCACACAUCACCUAUUGCAUCUACCCAUGUUUUACCCCAACAUUUUCGUAGAUAUAAAAUACAUAUACAGUUUAAAUCAUUGAAAACAUGUAUAACAACGUUCAUCUAGCAUAGAUAGCAAGUAUUCAGAUAAUAUGCACACAUAGCACGUAAUUUAUAUAAAAUACUUCAUAUCUAUGUGUAAGUUGAAAGUAACUAUGCACUCACUUGUUAAGGUGAUGAUUCCAAAAUCGGGCAGCGCUUGCUUCUAACGAUUCUAUUUUCCUUCGACGAAACCUAGCAUUAUUAUCGCUAAAUUUUAGUCUAAUAUUUACCGUGACCAACUAUUAGUCUUAGUAUUAUUAUUAUUAUAUAAGCGUUAAACAAUAUUUUCCAACCACUAUGUACAGACAGGGGCCAGACAUAAAACACCGGAGGGCAGGACCAUUUUGGCAUAUAGCACUUCUGAAAUCCAACAACCCUAUGCGGCCCUUUAAACCAGAUUCCCCGUACCGCGAGUAGUUAAAAAAAAUAUUAUAACGACACUUAUAUAAGUUAUAAUAAUAGCUCAAAUAUUUAUUAUAAGUUCAUAAUAACAAUACUAAUUUUAAAUAUAAGCUAUAUUAAAAUAAGGUAAGCAUAACUUACUUACAAGGGGGUUUUAGCUAGGAGUCGGGCUCUGCAGGGGCAGAACUUCGUCGCUGAAUCUUUCUAAGAAAGAUUCGUGCAGCGCUUCAGCGCUCACCUUACUAUACUAAGCUACAGAAAGAGAAGUCGAAUCACGAGGGACCGAAAUGCUCGGGGGAUAAGGAGAGAAAGACUCUUGAAUCAAGAGAAUGGUGCAAGAAAUAUGAGAGCCCAAGGCUCUUAUUUAUACUAAUUGAAUUUUCAAAAACUACCCUCCAUAAUUACUUAAUGACCUUUUAGUUAUAUAAACAACUAAACACCCCUCUAUAAUACUAUUAUAAAUGGAUUUAAUGAUAUUUGUACUAAACUAAUGUCGAAAGAACUCAACAUUAGUCUUAUAAUGACCGCAUCGUCGAUACCUUUCUAAUGAUAUAUACAUAUGUAUAUAUAUGUGUACGUAUACAUGAUUUAUACUUUAUUUUAAUACGUAAAUAUGCUAUUAUAAUUUGUAACUCGUUCAUACGAACUCCGUUUUUGACGUUCUUUAUAUCCACGCGUAGGUGAAGACGUACUCUACAACUUUCGUUUAGACUCCGUCGGCUAAUUUUGACUUUAUUUUUAAAGUUAUAUUUUUAACAAGCCGGGACAGGAUUGGUCUGUUUAAAAUCUCAUAACUUCUUCAUACGAAGUCAGAUUUGGGCGUUCUUUUUAUCGAUGUUCUUAGUUUAACAUAUUCUACGACUUUCGUUUAGAUCACUAAGGCUAAAUCUCGCUCUAUCGUAAAUUCACUAUUCACGCUUCCCGGUAUCGUGCCGGUUCUGUCGUGAAACUUCGACGGGUCAUAACUUCUUCGUUAUAACUCGGAUUUCGGCGUUCCUUAUAUGCACGGAAACCUUGAGACAUAUUCUACAACUUUAUGUAGAGAUAUCGGGAUUAUCUCACACUUUAAUUUUGACGCUCAUUUUUAUUCUUUAUUAAUUAUACAUUUAUAAUUAAAUAAUAAACACAUAUAAUUCACAUAAUACUCAAAUAUUUCAUCUUUAUUACUUCAAAAAGAGUUACAAGAGUUGACCUAGACUAUUACAUUGACAAAAAUGCUUAGCCCUGAAACCCGGGCGUUACAAUUCUCUCCCCCUUAGGAUGAUUCCGUCCCGGAAUCAUGCAUCAGCAAACAGAUGUGGAUAGCGACUCAUCAUGUCAUCCUCUGUUUCCCAAGUGAGAUUCGGCCCAUUCGAAUGUUUCCAUCGGACUAGCACCAAGUCGACCAUCUUGCGUCGUAACUUCUUAGUCUUACGGUCAACAAUUGCCUCAGGCUCUUCGAUCAACCUUUUAUUUUCAUCCAUCCUUAACUCUGAGAUUGGAAUUAUGUCGGGAACAUCUCCCGUGAAUUUCCUCAAAUAACACACAUGGAAGGUGUUAUGAAUACCAUUGAGUUCUUCGGGCAAUUCCAGCUUGUAAGCUUGGUUCCCUAUCUUCUGAAGAACUUUGAACGGUCCAAUAAACCUUGGACUCAACUUUCCUCGUUUCCCAAAUCGUAUAAGUCCCUUCCACGGUGAGACUUUAAGCAAAACGGAAUCCCCAACUUCGAAAGUUAUCGGUCGUCUUUUCUUGUCAGCAUAGCUCUUCUGACGAUCCUGGGCUGCUAACAUCCUUUCCCUAAUCACCUUCAACUUCUCAGCAGUCUCAUGGACUAUCUCGGGGCCCAUAAACUGCUUCUCUCCGGCUUCAAGCCAACAAGACGGCGUACGACACUUCUGCCCAUACAAGGCUUGAUAAGGAGCCAUCUUGAUGCUCGAGUGAAAACUAUUGUUGUAGGAAAAUUCUACCAGAGGUAAGUGCUCGUCCCAAUUCCCUUGGAAUUCGAGGGUACAUGCUCUCAGCAUAUCUUCCAGCGUCUGAAUCGUUCUUUCGCUCUGACCAUCAGUUUGCGGAUGAUAAGCAGUACUCAAACACAACUUUGUACCUAACUCCUCUUGUAGACUCCUCCAAAACCUUGACGUGAAACGACUAUCACGAUCUGAUACAAUCGUAAGAGGGACACCGUGAAGUCUUACAAUUUCCUUCACGUAAGCAUUUGCGAGCUUAUCCAUAGACCACUUCUCGUUGGCUGCUAUGAAGUGUGCACUCUUGGUGAAACGAUCCACGACUACCCAAAUCAUGUCGUGACCGUUCUUCGUCCUGGGCAGUUUAGUCACAAAAUCCAUGGUGAUGUCUUCCCAUUUACCCAUGGGUACAGGUAAAGGUUCUAAACUCCCAUACGGUUUCUGAUGUUGUGCCUUAACCCUCGCACAUGUUACGCACUCGGCCACAUACUUCGCAACAUCGAGCUUCAUCGUCGGCCACCAGUAGUAGGGUUUUAGGUCCCUAUACAUUUUAGUGCUACCGGGAUGAAUCGAGUACAUGGUCUUGUGUGCUUCUUCCAUCAGAAGAUCUCUUAUUCCUCCCGUCUUAGGUACCCAAAUUCGAUCUUGGAAUACCUUCAGUCCUCGACUGUUUGUACCAAACACUAACGUUCUUCCCAAACGUUCUUCCUUUCGGUCAUUUUUCUCUAAAGCUUCUUCUUGAGCUUUCCUGAUACUUUCCACAAUCGUCGAGACGACUUCAAUUCUUAACGCUCUUGGCCUUUUCCUUUCCAGAUUGACUUUCCGACUGAGAGCAUCAGCAACAAUAUUUGCUUUACCUGGGUGGUAAAGUAUCUCACAGUCGUAGUCCUUGAGAAGUUCUAGCCAGCGUCGUUGCCUCAUGUUCAACUCCUUCUGAUUAAAGAGAUACUGGAGACUCUUAUGAUCAGUGAAGAGCUUGCACUUCGUGCCGUAGAGGUAAUGCCUCCAUAUCUUUAAGGCAAAAACUACCGCUGCCAACUCCAGAUCAUGAGUGGGGUAGUUCUUUUCGUGCUCUUUCAAUUGUCGAGAUGCGUAUGCUAUCACCUUUUCUCUUUGGGUCAGAACACAACCCAACCCGACUCCAGAAGCGUCACUAUAAACCGCGAAAUCUUCGACUCCAUCGGGUAGAGAAAGUAUCGGUGCUUCACAUAACUUCUUCUUUAGCUUCUCGAAUGCCUCAUCGUGUUUCUCACUCCACGUAUACGUAGCUCCUUUAUGAGUCAAAGCUGUUAAUGGAGCAGCUAUCGAAGAAAAGCCUUGGAUAAAUCGUCGAUAAUAUCCGGCUAAUCCUAGAAAGCUUCGAAUCUCCGUGGGACUCUUUGGACGUUCCCACUUCAUUACAGCCUCGAUCUUUGCGGGGUCAACCAUUAUUCCCUCCUGGUUAACAACAUGACCCAAGAAUUGGACUUCCCGUAUCCAAAAGUCGCAUUUGGAGAACUUUGCAAAAAGCUUCUCCUUCUUCAACACUUCUAAUACUUCCCGUAGAUGCUUGCCAUGCUCCUCUUGGCUUUUCGAGUAGAUGAGAAUGUCGUCGAUGAACACUAUCACGGAUUUAUCGAGGAAUGGUUUACAAACCCUAUUCAUCAAAUCCAUGAAUGCUGCGGGAGCAUUGGUUAGCCCGAAUGACAUAACCAAGAACUCGUAGUGUCCAUAUCUCGUUCUGAAUGCAGUCUUCUCAAUAUCCUGCUUUCUCACCUUUAGCUGAUGAUAUCCUGACCUAAGAUCGAUCUUUGAGAAGUAGCUCGAACCUUGCAGCUGAUCGAAUAGGUCAUCAAUCCUCGGCAAUGGAUACUUGUUCUUCACCGUUGCCUUAUUCAGCUCUCGGUAGUCUAUACACAUUCUCAUACUUCCGUCCUUCUUCUUCACGAAUAACACCGGAGCUCCCCAGGGUGAUGAACUAGGUCGAAUAAAACCGUUGUCCAACAGCUCCUGAAGUUGCGUCAUGAGCUCCUUCAUCUCCGUCGGUGCUAAUCGGUAAGGUGCCUUUGCUAUCGGUGUUGUUCCUGGUAACAAGUCUAUACGAAACUCCACUUGCCUAUCAGGUGGUAAUCCGGGAAGAUCUUCGGGAAAGACUUCCGGAUAAUCACACACAACCGGUAUAUUCUGCACCUCUUUCUUCUCCUUCUUGGCAUCGAUUACGAAUGCCAAGUAUGAUGCACAUCCUUUGGACAAACAUUUCCUGGCUUUCAUCAGGGAGAUGAUUCCAGAAUUCACUCUGCGUUUGUCCCCAUACACCAUAAAUGAUUCUUUUCCGGGUGGGUUUACCUUUACUAUCUUCUUUCGGCAUUGAAUCUCAGCAUCGUUGGCGCUAAGCCAAUCCAUACCCAAAACGAUGUCGAAACCGUUUAACUCUAUGGGUAAUAGCUCUUCGUGGAAUUCGUUUCCGUUUAGGUCAAUGACGAUGUUCCUAAUACGAUUACUAACAGGUACGAAUUUGCCACUGGCAACUUCUACAAUCAGGGCAUUAUCUAGUUUUUCUACAGGCAAUGCUAAUUUCCCACCAAAUUUAUGCGACACAAAGGAGUAGUUGGCUCCGGAAUCAAAUAGUAUAUUUGCAGGCAAACCAUUUACAAGAAAGGUACCUGAAGCGACGUCUGCUGCCUCCUUUGCAGCCUCGAGCGUCAUCUGGAAGGCUCUCGCCUUCGGCUUCGGUGGUAUGUUGGGUCUUCCUGUCUCCUUCUUCUUCGGGCAGUCCUUCAAAAUGUGCCCUUCUUCAUUGCACCCAUAACAGGCUUUCUGGUUGAGGGUGCAUUCAUUGGCGUAGUGCCCAGGCUUUCCGCACUUGUAACAAGUGACCCCUCCGUCACACUUCCCAGAGUGCUUCUUCUUGCACUUGUCACACCACUUCGCUUCUGAUCCUCCUCCCCUCGAACCAGACUUCGAGAAUCUACUCUUCUUGUUGGACUUCGAGGAUCCAUUGAACUUCCGUUUCUCACCAACCUCAGCCCUCUCCAGACCUCUUUCCUUUUGUUGGGUCUCCACGUUCUUAGCUGCUCGAACAGCUGAUUUCAGAGUGGUUGCCAUCUUGACUGUUGGGCCAAAGUCAGCCGGCAGUCCGUUUGCGAAUUUCUCAAUUUUGGAAAGUUCGGUUGGCACUAGGUAUGGAAACAACUUCAUCUUUUCCGUAAAUGCAGCAGCAUAGUCAUCGAUGCUCAUUCUCCCCUUCUUCAAAUUUUGGAACUCAUUGUUCAGAUCAAUCAGGUCUAUCUCUGAACAGUACUGCGCCUUCAGUUGUUCCAAGAACUCAUCCCAUGACAUUUUCAGAGCUUCUCCCCGUGGCAUUGUAUCUGCCAAUAGCUUCCACCAGCUCAAGACUCCAGUUUUCAAUUGUCUCACAGCGAAGACAGUCUUCUGCUUCUCGCUGCAGUCGCAGCUCUCAAACACCAUCUCCAUCUCGGAGAUCCAGUCCAUAAUCUCAACAGGCUUUGGGCUUCCUGAGAGACUUGGUGGUUUCGCACCCAAGAAAUUUUUGUACAUCCGCCCAUCCUUGUUGUUUCUCCCUUCUGGGCCAUCCUUUUGCUCACCUUGAGUCCCUACUUGACUCACUUGGCGGCUAUAGUUCCCUUCCUCAGAUGGCUCGGGAACUGGCUCCGUCGGUUCAACAUGUAUGGUAGGUUCGUCCCUAUUUUCGUGGAGCAUCCGUCUCAUUUCUUCCCUUUGUUCAGCUAGCAUAGCCUGAAUCAUGGCUUGAACUCCAGCCAUGGUGACUGGCUCAGGUGCAACUUCUUCAACAACAGGUAUUUGCUGAACCACUGGGGGUUGGUUCCUACCUCCAUUUGCGUUCACGUUUCCGCUACGGGUCCUUGCCAUCUUGAUCUAUACACCGAAUAAGGUGAAUUUAGAUCUUUAUUUAGGAUAGACGUUUUAAAUCGUCCUUAUCACUCCGAAACGUUUACAUGCUAGUUCUAAUAUCGUAGUCGUACGUUUAGAAUCCUAAACACAUAAGGUUUCCAGAUCCGGUCGGCAACAGACCAUAGAUCCGAACAAUUAACAGCAUAUUAUGCACAAAGCAUUUAGCACAUAAAAGCAUUUUAGGCACAAUUCCUAAAAUAAGCUAGUGCUCACACCUCACAAUCAUCGCUUAGCAUUCUAAGUUUAAGUCUAGAAAUCCUACAAAUUCCUAGUUCGCUUAAACUAAUGCUCUGAUACCAACUGUGACAUCCCCAAAAUCACGGCCAGAAAAGACCGGUUUGUUUAUGCUUUGUUUAAAAAUCAGAGUUACAUUUUAAAUGAAAGUGUUGCGGAAUUUGUCCCAAAACAAAAAUAUGAUAAAGAUUUAUCAAAAGCAUUUCCAUAGAAAUGUAUUUCAUUAAAAGACUCGGGAUGUCAUGUUCGUACAGAUCAAAAGCAUAAACAGUACAAUAUAAGCCUUACUACAUUAUUUCAUAUCUACAGGCCUAUAUCCGUAAUCCCUCGUCCAAAACAUCACACCUAUGCUCAUGCGCCACUACCUGUAAUACAUAAAACUGAGUGGGUCAGGCUUGGGAGCCUGGUGAGCACAUAGGGUUUUCAACCCACAAUAAAUAAGUUUAUUAAUUUCAUCAAUCAACAAUAACCCGAUUACCCGUUCCCGUUAUCCUCACUUUACGUCCCUAAACACCUAUCAUAAGGGACCUAGCCUAAGGAUCAUCAUCGGGACGGACACUACUGCUAAGGGGAUUCCUCAGCAAUAAAUGUCCUAAAGGCAACCAUGUGGGGGAUGGAGUACACCGGUGAACACAUCGUUCACAAACACCUACAGGUUGCGAGCCUGCUAGUGUUCCACUGGACUGUCUAGAAGAGUCCGUGGUCGUCAUCCAUACUCCGCUAGAUGACAGAAACAACAACAUCAACAUCGAGGCCUCUCAUCAUUUUAUCACACAUCAGCUAUUACAUCUACCCAUGUUUUACCCCAACAUUUUCGUAGAUAUAAAAUACAUAUACAGUUUAAAUCAUUGAAAACAUGUAUAACAAUGUUCAUCCAGCAUAGAUAGCAAGUAUUCAGAUAAUAUGCACACAUAGCACGUAAUUUAUAUAAAAUACUUCAUAUCUAUGUGUAAGAUGAAAGUAACUAUGCACUCACCUGGUUAGGUGGUGACUCAGCACUCGGACAGCGCUUCGAUACUCUCAAAACGAUAUUCCUUCGAUAAAACCUAGUAUCGGUACCACUAGGGUUUAGUUUAACGAUAACCGCGACAAAUUAAUUAGUCCGAGUAUUAUUAAGCGUUAAUAAUACUCAUAAUAAUAGCCCAAGUACUUAUUAUAAGUUCCUAAUAACGUUACUAUAUUAAAACAUAAGCUAAACUAAAGUUAGGGUAGGUAUAGCUCACUUACAGCGGGUUUUCUCGAAAACCGGGCUUCGCUGGAGCAGCGUUCCCGAGCCGAAAGGCUCUUUUCUCGGAACUCCGGGAGCCUCGGGGCUUCCUUCGGGUGCUAGGGGGUUUACCUAGGCUUUAAGGGGGGUUAGGGAGCUUAGAGAGAGAGUAUAGAGAGAGAAAGAAGAAGGUUGAGGGGUGAGAAAAUGAGGGAACCCGGCACCUCUAUUUAUAGGGGAGAAAUCUGAUGGACUCGCCGAGUCUGAGUCAUUACUCGCCGAGUUGGUGCAUGUGGUGGCCUUCUGGUGGUGCCACGUGUCCAAUUCUGGUGGUGCCACGUCACCCCCUAUCGCGUGUCAGCCUUCGAACUUAGAAAAAUCAUAACUCUCGCAUACGAGCUCCGUUUUCGACGUUAUUUAUAUCCACGCGUAGGUAAAAUCAAGAUCUACAACUUUCAUUUAGACUCCGUCGGCUAAUUCUCGACCGAUCUCAAAUUUAACAGUAGGAGGCCUUUAGACUGUUAAAUGACCGCGAAGAAUUCGUAACUCCUUCAUGCGAACUCCGUUUUCGUCCAUCUUUUUGCCGUUGAGUUCCUAUUAAUGAGAUCUUCAACUCUCAUUUAGGUCGCGUAAGCCAAAAACCAUUCGAACUAAAAUUCGAGUUUCGGGCUGUACACUGCUAUUCGAAAACUUCGAAAAAUCAUAACUUCUUCAUACGAAGUCAGAUUUGGGCGUUCUUUUUAUCGACGUUCUUAGUUUAACAUAUUCUACGACUUUCGUUUAGAUCGCUAAGGAUAAAUCUCGCUCCAUCAUAAAUUCACUAUUUACGCUUCCCGGUGUCGUGCCGGUUUUGCCGUAAAACUUCGACGGGCCAUAACUUCUUCGUUAUAACUCGGAUUUCGGCGUUCUUUAUAUGUACGGAAACCUUGAGACAUAUUCUACAACUUUAUGUAGAGAUAUCGGGUUUAUCUCGCACUUUAAUUUUGACGCUUAUUUUUAUUAUUUAUUAAUUAUACAUUUAUAAUUAAAUUAUAAGCACAUAAAUACACAUAAUUCACAUAAUACUCAAAUACUUCAUCUUUAUUACUUCAAAAGAGUUACAAGAGUUGACCUAGACUAUUACAUUGACAAAAAUGCUUAGCCUUGAAACCCGGGCGUUACACCAUCUCAUACCACUUUUCACGUUUCAUCUCCGACAACCACAAAAUUUUAUCCUCAAAUCAAACUGAAAUUCAACACCAAACCAUACCAAAUCAAAAUCAAGAACAAACUUGCAACCUGCAGCCAAUAUCAAAGCCUGCAAUCUUUUCAAAUGUUUUCAGUUCCAGAAAUUGCCCCCCUCAGAUUGUCGAUGGUGGAAGACAAUCAUAAAUGCACCGUUGAGUAUGGAGGUUCUUCGAUCAAGGUUGUAGACAAC